GGGGGUGUCGUAUAGUGGCAGUACAAGGGUCUCCAAAACCCUUUGCGUAGGUUCGAUUCCUACCACCCCUG
rnacentral:tRNA from 1 species